UUUAAAAUUAUUUAAAAGCGACGGGCAAUAUGUAUAUAUUUUUUUAAAAAAUUAAAAUAUUAAAUAUAUAAAAUUUUAAUUUUAAAUCCAUUUUCAAUUAAAUAUUAAAAUUUAAUAUUCAAAUAAAAUUAUUUUAAUGUAUUUCAUUUUAAUCUUAAUUUUAAAAUAUAUUAUGAUUUGAAUUAUUUUUUAUAAUAAAAAUUAUUAAUAAUUUUUUAAUAUUAAUUAAACAACAAUAUAUAAUUUUAUAAAUUAAGUAUAUUAUAUUGUGUAUUAUCAAUUAAUAAACAAAAUCCUCUAAUUUUAAAAAAUACUACCAAAUUAUUUAAUUUUUUAAAAAUAAAUUAUAAUUAUUAAAAUAAUAAAAUUAUAUAAUA
rnacentral:rRNA from 1 species